AUAGUAUUUCACAAAAAGCUAGUUGUUAGAUAAAAUAAGAAGACAUGUAAAAGUUUGGAUUUGUUAGAUAGUAGACAAAGCGAUUUGUAAAUAGUAUUACGUAAACUUUUAGCACAAAUUAUAGUUUUUAACUAGAAAAUAGGGAAAGAAUAGCUUGCUAGACACUUAGGAAAUUAAAUCUUUGUAUAAGAUAAAUCAAAUAAAUCUUGUGUAGAUACGCUAAUCCUAGUGAACAAAGAAAAUGUUCUCAUUCUUUGUCUUCAUGUAAUAAGCGAGAUAAUCCGUUUUAAUGGUGACGCUAAAGAUAAUUGAGAAAUGAAAGACAGAUAGAAAUCGGGUCAGUGUCCAGUUAUUGACCAAUAAAAAAUUAAUAAGGGAGGUCACUAAAUUUCAAUUAAGAAGUUGAUUGGAGAAAAUAGCAGAAGUUCGUAAUUCCAAAGGUCAUGUGACUAAAAAUUUGAAAUAACCAAAGUAAAGGUUUAGCAUCAUUCGAUCUUUGGAGUUACAAAAAUAAAGACUUAUUUUAAAAAGAACUUCUGUUUAUUUUAGGUGAGUUGAUAUUGAUUUUAUAAUUUUGUUAUAAGUAAUAUUUUACUUAAUAUAAGGAAGUAACAUUUGUUUAAAUUAAAUUGCAAAAUAAGUAAAUGCAAAUUGAAUGUUAAAGAUCUAAUAUAUAUAUGAUGCCAAAUUGAUUUAUGAAGAAAAUCUUAAUUAAUUUUAUAUUGUUAACUUAUAUAAAAUAUAUAUCUAAGAAUUGAAGUAUUUAUUAAGUCUUAUUUAAAGGUUAAAGUUGAAGAAUAAUAUACUUUAAAUUAAAUGAAUUCAUUGAUAUCGGAAUGUUACUUAGGUUAUAGGUUUAUAUUUAGAUUGUAUCAUUCAAGGGAGAGAACUCAUAUUUACUAAAUUUAGACCAUGCCGUCUUUAGUAUUUGGAAACAAAGUUUUUAGGCUUAAAUAUUUAUUGUUGUACUUAAUAAGUUUUCUUAACAGUGACAACAGAGGUGUGGGAAACUAUGGAAAAGAGAAAGCUGAAAAACACCCCCCAAUCAGCAUAACACUUGUAUAAAAAUCCACAGAUCCAAUGUGUCUGAGGUUGAGGAAUGCAUUGCAGUAACACUUAAGCAUGCACCAGCUCAAAAAGAUGGACCAAGAUGUAAAAAGAGACCUGAAACCAACACAAGACCAGCUGAUCAGAGGGCAGAAAACCAAAAUUUGGAAUGACAUGUAUACAACCAACACAAGACUAAAAUUUGGAAUAAAAAUAAAAAAAAUUCAGAAACAUAU